GUUCCCGUAGCUCACUCGGAUAGAGCGGACCCCUCCUAAGGGGUAGGUAGUAGGUUCAAAUCCUAUCGGGAACGCCA
rnacentral:tRNA from 1 species